AUUGAACGCUGGCGGCAUGCCUUACACAUGCAAGUCGAACGGUAACGCGGGGCAACCUGGCGACGAGUGGCGAACGGGUGAGUAAAGCAUCGGAACGUGCCCAGUAGUGGGGGAUAGCCCGGCGAAAGCCGGAUUAAUACCGCAUACGACCUAUGGGUGAAAGGGGGGGAUCGCAAGACCUCUCGCUAUUGGAGCGGCCGAUGUCAGAUUAGGUAGUUGGGGGGGUAAAGGCCUACCAAGCCGACGAUCUGUAGCUGGUCUGAGAGGACGACCCGCCACACGGGGACUGAGACACGGCCCAGACUCCUACGGGGGGCAGCAGGGGGGAAUUUUGGACAAGGGGCGCAAGCCUGAUCCAGCCAUGCCGCGUGGGGGAAGAAGGCCUUCGGGUUGUAACCCGCUUUUGUCAGGGAAGAAAUCUUUUGGGUUAAUACCUCGGGGGGAUGACGGUACCUGAAGAAUAAGCACCGGCUAACUACGUGCCAGCCGCCGCAGUAA
rnacentral:rRNA from 1 species